UCCCUCUUAGCUCAGUUGGUAGAGCGCGUCACUAGUAUGGUUUCGGUACAUGAUAAGUUAUGACGAGGUCAGUUGUUCAAGUCGGCUAGAGGGAA